UGGGGAAUAUUGCACAAUGGGGGAAACCCUGAUGCAGCGACGCCGCGUGAACGAAGAAGGUAUUCGUAUCGUAAAGUUCUGUCCUAUGGGAAGAUAAUGACAGUACCAUAGAAGAAAGCUCCGGCUAAAUACGUGCCAGCAGCCGCGGUAAUACGUAUGGAGCGAGCGUUGUCCGGAAUUAUUGGGCGUAAAGGGUACGCAGGCGGUUUAAUAAGUCGAAUGUUAAAGAUCGGGGCUCAACCCCGCAAAGCAUUGGAAACUGAUAAACUGGAGUAGUGGAAAGGAAAGUGGAAUUCCUAGUGUAGUGGUGAAAUACGUAGAUAUUAGGAGGAAUACCAGUAGCGAAGGCGACUGUCUGGACACAAACUGACGAUGAGGUACGAAAGCGUGGGGAGCAAACAGG
rnacentral:rRNA from 1 species